rnacentral:rRNA from 1 species
GAUCUCGGGAGGCAGCAGUGGGGAAUAUUGCACAAUGGGCGAAAGCCUGAUGCAGCAACGCCGCGUGAGGGACGAAGGCCUUCGGGUUGUAAACCUCUUUUAGCAGGGAAGAAGCGAAAGUGACGGUACCUGCAGAAAAAGCACCGGCUAACUACGUGCCAGCAGCCGCGGUAAUACGUGGGGUGCAAGCGUUGUCCGGAAUUAUUGGGCGUAAAGAGCUCGUAGGCGGUUUGUCACGUCUGCUGUGAAAUUUCGAGGCUCAACCUCGAACUUGCAGUGGGUACGGGCAGGCUAGAGUGCGGUAGGGGAGAUGGGAAUUCCUGGUGUAGCGGUGGAAUGCGCAGAUAUCAGGAGGAACACCAGUGGCGAAGGCGGCA